rnacentral:lncRNA from 1 species
AAAUUUUCUUUCAAAAUAAGGUUCUAAAUGGUGGCGACGAAAAUAGAUCAAGUAACAAUGGCCGUUCAACGAAACCUGUCCGUCAGUGAUUAGUUCUAACGAGGCACGGCUGUAGUAAGGGUGAGAGGCACCGGCAGCAGAUUUGACGGGAUCUCCGAUGAUGGUUAUUCUAGCCAGAUCUGGCCUUCUCAUGGCGCGAAAGUGGCGGGAGAAAGGAGAAAAGAGGCGACGUGGUGGCGGGGGUUAUGGUCGACGGGGAAGGGAGAAGGAGAUGAUGAUAGCGCCGAUUUGGUCGAUUGGUUUCGGAAAAUCAGUGUACGCGUGUGCGUGUUCCGGUGGAUAUGUGCAGUAUUAUGAAUGUACAGUUUAAAAGGUAGAUUUCAUGAAUAUGUGAUUGUGUGAUUUGUGUAAAAUAUAUAUAUAAAUAUCUUGCAUCUACUGUUCUGGGAAUAAAAUUAUAUGAUCAUAUAUAUGUGCCGGCAAGAUAUCAUGCAUAAAAAUCAUUAUCGUUACAUAUGUUUACACACACAAAAUAUUUUGAAUAUUUCAUCCAUAUUUCCACAAUUUAAGUGAUAACAUAAUAAUACAUAAUUGAAUAUGAACUUGUAAUGAAUCAAGUCAUUACCGAAACUCGAACGGAAACUCGAAAUUUAAUUUUUAUGCUUUUCUCUUUUGCCUGAUGUUUUUCUCCAUGUGAUUUUGAAUAUUUCACUCACUUUUUACUGACUGGUUUUAUGCAGUAUCUGUGUAACACCCGUAUUCAAGUGCAUGUAUUGGCGUAUUCAAGUACGUGUAUUGGUCUUAUUUAUAUGGAAUUAAUUUUUUAUUUUAUUUAUACCGGAAUUUGCCCGUCGAUGGUUCCAUGCGAAGGUUAUUGAAUAAGCUUUCCAACGAUAUAAAGAUUUCCAAAAACAGAUAGGUUUCGGAUAUAAUCGACCACGUUUGAAACUAUAAAACGGUGGCCGGAAUAUUUGGGAAUAGUAAAUGUGCAGGAAAAUUUCCUGCACACAAACUACUGAGGCCAGCCGAUUUUUUGGGUCAACUUCGAACGAUCAUAACUCCCUUAAUAUAAUGAACUGGGAGAGCUGCAACCUAUGAAAAGAAAUAUCUUUGAGUCUUCUUUCCAAUGCAAUUAGUUUCAUCCAUAUCCAACGUCUGAGUAAGGAGUUAUACUUGUUUUACUUCAGCCUAUCAAAACAGAUUUUUAGGGUCAACUUCAAACGACCAUAACUCUUUGUACAUGACGAACUGGGUGGCCUACUUUAUAUGAAAUGAAAGCCCUUUGAAUUAUCCUUCCAACGAUAUCAAUUUCACCCAAAUCCAAUAUCGGAGCAAAGAGUUAUGGUCGAUCUACUUUAGCUUAUCAAAACAGUCCACCAAAGGACAGAUUUGACAUUAUUUAAAUUUUAAAGGCAUUUUGGUCAUUUCCUAUUAUAUUAUGGACGGGAAUAUGUGUAUAUAUACAUGUAUAUGAGUUAAAAAACUCAUUUUCAUCAUCAAUCAUUGAGAAAGAACAAACCCUAGCCAAAUUUGACCUUUAAAUUACUUUUGAUUCAACCGUAGAAAUUCCAAAGUAAUCCGAUAACUGCGUUUGUCAUCUCGAGAGCUUCGAACGACACCUAUUAUUUAUGCAAACAGGAUUGCAUAAUCAAGAGGUGAAUUCUAAGGUAUGAAUAUUGUUUGCCUUGUUCUUUUCCAUAUGUAUAUGUGUGAUAGAGGAUUAUAUGUAUUGGUUGUUAUUGAAAGGUGAUGAAAAUAGGAUUAUGGACUAUUUUGCAUGGUUUGAUUGUAUUGAAUUGUGGAAGGUGGAUAUGGUAAUUGAGUUAUGGAAGGUGGAUAUGGUGAUAUACUAUUGAAUUGAUGAUUAUUUAUGUCUAUGGCUCAAUUUGGUUUAAUGGAUUGGUUGGAAGGAUAAAUGAAUCCAAACUUGAUAUUGGAGGAUGUUGUAUGAAUAUGCAUGGCAUGUGAAUGUAAUUGGAGUAUAAGAGGGUUAAAGUGACACCCUUUAUGGUGUAAUUAAGGCUUACUACUUAACCACUAGUUUGGUGAAUUCAAAUAAUUGAAUUGUGACGUUUGGUUGCUAAUACUAGAUUGCUAUAUAUGUUCAUUGUAGAUAAGUAAUCUGAAAAGACGGGAAGUCCAUUUGGGACUAGUAUUGAAGGUUGAUAGUCAGGUAUGUAAAGCAUACUCUAUACCAUAUCUUUGGCAUGAAAGUGAACAAUUGUUCUAUUAAGAAAGUUUCCAAAGUUAUUCAAUAACAUGUGAUCCCUAAUGGUAUUGUAUGAUGUCCUACGUUACCAAUGAACUUGUUUCCACCCUACAAGAUGUCAAGACAUUCCAAUACUUACUUGUUUUCCAAAUUUUACAUGUUUAUUGCACUAAUGAAUGUCAUAAGAUAUCCGGUUACUCAAACAAGAUCCAUGUGUUAUUAAUAACUCCAAAACGUUUCAUUGAUAUACCAAUAAGUUCCUACUUUAUUGUUAUGGUAUUGAUGACUCCAAAACACUUCAUUGAUGUGCCAAUGAGUUCUUACUUCAUUGUUAUUGCAUUGAUGGUCUAUUUAUAUGUCUCUUAUUGAUGUAUCAUUGUUUCAAAGUAUUAAAAAUGCGGUGGCAACCGAAAUAACAAUCUCAAAGAUUAAUUGAACUAAGUGAUGGAAGUUCUCUUUUAUUGGGUGGUAUCCCAGGAGCAUAAGUCUAUCAUGGGUCGAUCCCUAUUUAUGUGUUUAUGAGUGGUAUCCCAGGGGCAUAAGCCUAUCAUGGGUCGAUCCCAGUUGAUAUGUACUGGAGGCAGCCUAAUGGUCACAGUACAAUACAGUAAUGAUUACAAAGAUGAUAAGAACGAAGGUAAAGUGAUUGAAUAAAUACAAUGUACAGGUUGUCACAAAUUCUAGUAAGUGUGGUCCACUCCUAUUACGAUUUAUUCACUUGUUUCUGAUUUCUAUUGAGC